UUGUAUUGCAUUAAACCUUCAAAUCAUUUACUGUUAUUAAUCUAAAUUAUACCACAUAUAAUCUCCAUAGGAACUUGAUUUGUGCUAAACUGCAUCAUAAUAAAACCCCCAAACUAACAAACAUCCAAAGCACACAAAACCACACAGAAACUCCCAAAAACCAAACCAAACCAACCUCAAAACACACACCAAAAGAAAACCAAACCCCAGAGCCCUGUAUUGGAUUGCACUGGUCAAAGGCCACUGGUGCUGCCCUCGUGGAGGGGGUGACCUGAGCUGGUUCCAGUUCCUGUCCCAGUUUGCUUCAGCAAAGCCAGCUGCUGAAAUAAUGACUUCAUGGCUUCCAGUGAUCUUUCUCUUCAGUUAUGGGCAAGACUUUCAUUGCAGUGAUGAUGUCAUGUCAGCUCUACCCUGUUGGUUGCUGUUCCUUCCAGUUGGUUCUUCUUGAUGCUCAGAUCCCACCUACCGACAGCAAGAUCUACUUACAUGGUUAUUUACAGCAGAUUUUCCCUUGUAAACUUACAAAAUGUAAUUGUUUUUCUUGUUUGCUGUGCUGCCUUUGGAGCAGUGCUGCUGUCUGGCUUUUAAGCCUAAUGCCAUGGUGCAUCUGACAGCAGAAAUGAGAAGGAAUGAUAUAAAAUCUGAGGGUUUUGUUCAAAAUAUAAUAUGGAUUUGGGAAACUUCAAUGUGAAAGAGGUUUCUUCUAUAAUUUAAAUCCUUAGGAAAUAAUAAUAUUAUCUGUUUUCCUGCUUUUUUAAAAAGAAUAAAUAGGUGAGUGUGGGGAGAGUGCUGCAGCA